UGCGAACGGGUGAGUAACGCGUAGGUAACCUGCCUGGUAGCGGGGGAUAACUAUUGGAAACGAUAGCUAAUACCGCAUGAUAUUAAUUGUUGCAUGAUAAUUAAUUGAAAGAUGCAAUUGCAUCACUACCAGAUGGACCUGCGUUGUAUUAGCUAGUUGGUGAGGUAACGGCUCACCAAGGCGACGAUACAUAGCCGACCUGAGAGGGUGAUCGGCCACACUGGGACUGAGACACGGCCCAGACUCCUACGGGAGGCAGCAGUAGGGAAUCUUCGGCAAUGGGGGGAACCCUGACCGAGCAACGCCGCGUGAGUGAAGAAGGUUUUCGGAUCGUAAAGCUCUGUUGUAAGAGAAGAACGAGUGUGAGAGUGGAAAGUUCACACUGUGACGGUAUCUUACCAGAAAGGGACGGCUAACUACGUGCCAGCAGCCGCGGUAAUACGUAGGUCCCGAGCGUUGUCCGGAUUUAUUGGGCGUAAAGCGGAGCGCAGGCGGUUAGAUAAGUCUGAAGUUAAAUGGCUGUGGCUUAACCAUAGUAUGCUUUGGAAACUGUUUAACUUGAGUGCAGAAGGGGAGAGUGGAAUUCCAUGUGUAGCGGUGAAAUGCGUAGAUAUAUGGAGGAACACCGGU
rnacentral:rRNA from 1 species